CUUUGCUCAGUCCAAUUUCGCCACUUUCCUGGAUGAUGAUGAAAUGAUGAGGACAACACAAACACCCAGUCAUCUCGAGGCAGGGGAAAAUCCCUGACCCCGCCGAGAAUCGAACCCGGGACCCCGUGCUCGGGAAGCGAGAACGCUAUUGUCUGUAAACACAUGCCGUGUCAGUGCUCUUCGAAGAGAGCUGUGGCAAUGAUGUGGCUCUGUUGUUCCCACGCAGUGAUUUGUGAAGAUGUAAAAAAUCAAUAUUCAAGCAGUGAUAAGUACUUCUUAAAGAAAGGUAUGAAGGCAAAGGACAUUCAUGCCAAUCUCCAGAAUAAACUGUGGUACUCUGCUCCUUCAUAUUCAGCUGUUGCCAAGUGGACAAAUAAAUUUAAAUUUGGUCAGGAGAGCUUAGAUGAUGAUCCGCGCAGUGGUCAGCUGAGACGUGUCACUACUUAUUUCAAAAGUGCACAAAAUGAUCAUGGAAGAUCGCUGAUUGAAAGUACGUGAAAUUACUCAUGCUUCCCAGAUGUCAUCUGAAAGGAUAUAUCACAUUUUAACUGAAGUAUUAGAAAUGAGAAAAUUAUCUACAUGAUGCGCACCAUGACUCUUGAUGCUGGAUCAUAAACACAUGAGAAUGGACAUAUCGGAACAUUGUUUUACCCGUUUAAGGUGAAACAAACAAGAUUUUUUUGUGCCGGUUUGUGACCACAGAUGCAACUUGGAUGCAGUUCUAUACCCCGGGGAAAAGAACAGUCAAAGCAGUGGAAACAUACUGAUUCUCUGCCACCAAAGAAGAACCAAAGGCAAUUCCUUCGGCGGGAAAGCUCAUAGGGGAUUCUGUUUGAAGAGUAUUUCCCCACUGGGCGAAUAAUUGCUGGAGAACACAUGAUAACCUCCUGGACAAAUUGCAACAUAAGAUACGCAAAAAAAGGCCAGGUUUAGCAAGGAAGAAAGUUAUCUUCCGUCAAGACAGUGCGCGCCCGCACCCAUGUGCCAACGCCAUGGAAAAAUUACACAAACUAAGGCCUGGAGGAAACUCAUUUUGGAGAUGGGAUUGAGGCACUCGAACAUUAUUGGACCAAGUGCAUUAAUCUACAAGGAGACUACAUUGAAAAAUAAAAAGAGUUUCAGUGAUGUAAGUACUUUUUUUCUAUUCCGUUCCAAGAACUUUUCAAACCAUCCUCGUAUUAUCUCAAGUUUACCAUCCAUCGUCCAGAAUAUUCUGACGCAUAAAGUUUUUGUAGCAUGGGGAUUUUGGGUGGAAAGAAUUUGGGACACACUUUGCAUUGUAUUCUUAAAAGGAAGCAAGAUUGUUUCAUAGGAACCAUCCCACCAUUUUCAAGGGAAAUCAAAGAAAAUCUAAAUGUGAACGGCUAGACACGAGUCCAUUGAUGGAGCUUUUUUUGUAGUAUCUUUCUGCCAGGUUCUUCGUUUGUCUGGUUAUCAACGUUGGUAGACAUCAGUUAUUUUGUAUACAGUCUGUACAAAAAAAAAAAAUCAUCCAAUUUGGCUCAUCUAUGUUUCUGAAACUAAUAAACAACUACAAUGAAUUUUGUUUUUCGAUGAACAGAAAACUCGGAGGUAGUUUUUCCCCCAUAGGUGUUCAAUACGCCCUCGCUUGAGAUUUGCAGAAUAUGUCACUGUGGUAUUCAGAUUGUUCCCACACUGCAAUGAGCAUAUCUUGAGUUACAGCUUCCACAGCUGCUGUUAUGUGAUGUUUCAGUCCAUCUUUUAUAAACCCCUACGGCGAAUAAUCACAUACAGUCAGGUCCAGUGACUUUAGAGGCCAGUAAUGUAAGACUGUAUUGUUUGGUUCAGUACGACCGACCCAUCAUUCAGUAAUUCUUUGAUACAAAAUUCCCGUGCUUCCAAUUGCCAUUGUGGCGGUGCCCCAUCCUGUAGGUAAAUGAAGUCGUUUGAACAAGUCUCCAACUAUUGGAAAAGAACGUUCUCAAGCAUAUCGAGAUACAUGCAUCCUGUGAAGGCAGAUGCAUUCGACAUCUGUGUCAGACACUCUGCCAACAAGCCACCUUCAUAGAUGUUGAUAUCCACCUCAAAGAUGGCUACAUCAGUACCUCCGUCCAUAUCAGACUUACUGACGACCGGCAAUACCUUCACUUCGACAGCUGCCACCUGUUCCAUUCCAAGAAGUCCCUUCCGAACAGACUAGCAGUGAGGAGCAGUUCCUCUUGAAAUAUACCAAGGGUCUCACUGAAGCCUUCACUGGCUGUAAUUAUCCUCCCAACCUUGUACAAAAACAAAUAUCCCUUGCCUUAUCUUUCCAGUCUCCCACCACCACCCAAAGUCCCAUUGUCCGGCCACAGAGGAGCAUUCCCCCUGUAACUCAGUACCACCCAGGACUGGAGCAACUGAAUUACAUUCUCCACCAGGGUUUCGAUUACCUCUUGUCGUGCCCAGAAAUGAGAAAUGUCCUGCCCACUGUCCUUCCCAACCCCUUCCACAGUGGUAUUCUGCCAGCCACCGAACCUACACAAUAUAUUUGCCCAUCCUUACACAACCCCUGCUCCCAAUCCCUUAACCUCAAGGCUCAUAGAUUUUAUUUUCUACCAAGGCAAAAGAACUUUCCCUCAAUUAAUAGCUUCUGAGUUUUCAUUGGGAGGUGCUUCUGUAUUCAAACUUACUGAAGUCUGACACCUGGUCACAGUGUUUACCGUGAUCACUAUUUCACAAAUGAGAAACUAGUCAGUGAGUUUCUGAAUUGAGGAUGUCAAUCUGCGGUACAAUAAACAACCUUAGGUUUCCAAAAGAAGCAUGACAAAAGUGAUGAAGAAAUGAGAACAAAGGUAAGAAAUUCCUGUGAUAUGUUGGUUUGACAAGACAAGAAAAUUGAUUGUGAAGCGGCUGGAUAGAAAAAGUGUGACCAUGAUGUUGUCAGUUCAUGGAAUUGAGCCCGUGGAUUCUUGCACAGGAUAUAAUAAGAAAGAAAAAAAAAAAGAACUGAAGUUAAAAGACCAGCUGUUAUCAAAAAAUGUAAUAGGAAUGGGGGUGGAGGGGACCUUGCUGACAGAAUUGCCUCAUUGUCCCACGCAAGCAAGAACUGGAGAAAAAAAAGCGGACAAUUAGGACCAUGUGACAUCA